AGUGAACGCUGGCGGUAGGCCUAACACAUGCAAGUCGAACGGCAGCACAGUAAGAGCUUGCUCUUACGGGUGGCGAGUGGCGGACGGGUGAGGAAUACAUCGGAAUCUACUUUUUCGUGGGGGAUAACGUAGGGAAACUUACGCUAAUACCGCAUACGACCUACGGGUGAAAGCAGUGGAUCUUCGGACCUUGCGCGAUUGAAUGAGCCGAUGUCGGAUUAGCUAGUUGGCGGGGUAAAGGCCCACCAAGGCGACGAUCCGUAGCUGGUCUGAGAGGAUGAUCAGCCACACUGGAACUGAGACACGGUCCAGACUCCUAAGGGAGGCAGCAGUGGGGAAUAUUGGACAAAGGGCGCAAGCAUGAUCCAGCCAUACCGCGUGGGUGAAGAAGGCCUUCGGGUUGUAAAGCCCUUUUGUUGGGAAAGAAAAGCAGCAGGUUAAUACCCCGCUGUUCUGACGGUACCCAAAGAAUAAGCACCGGCUAACUUCGUG
rnacentral:rRNA from 1 species